CGUCGUGAUCAGUGAUAUACGGCUGCCGGGCCUUGGCGGAAUAGAUCUCGCCAGAAGGAUCUGCAAGAUGGAACGCCAUCCGAAGGUCAUCCUGCUGACCGCCUACGCGAAUCCCCAGAUGGUCAAGGACGGGGUCGCCGCCGGUGCCUGUCGGGUUCUGUCAAAACCCAUCGGCUUGAAAGCAUUGGCUCAAGCAGUUCUGGAGGUUGUCGGCCCCAGUCCGCAAGCGUACGAAUCGUAAUGGGCGCAAGGCUCCGUAGCCUUCCACUCCCCGAUCC
rnacentral:misc_RNA from 1 species